UGCCCUAGUAACGGCGAGUGAAGCGGCAACAGCUCAAAUUUGAAAUCUGGCCCCAGGCCCGAGUUGUAAUUUGCAGAGGAUGCUUUUGGUGACGCGCCUACCGAGUCCCCUGGAACGGGGCGCCACAGAGGGUGAGAGCCCCGUAUGGUUUGACGCCGAGCCUCUGUAAAGCUCCUUCGACGAGUCGAGUAGUUUGGGAAUGCUGCUCUAAAUGGGAGGUAAAUUUCUUCUAAAGCUAAAUACCGGCCAGAGACCGAUAGCGCACAAGUAGAGUGAUCGAAAGAUGAAAAGCACUUUGAAAAGAGGGUUAAAUAGCACGUGAAAUUGUUGAAAGGGAAGCGCUCGUGACCAGACUUGCGCCGGGCGGAUCAUCCAGCGUUCUCGCUGGUGCACUCCGCCCGGCUCAGGCCAGCAUCGGUUUUCGCCGGGGGACAAAAGCUUCGGGAACGUAGCUCCUCUCGGGGAGUGUUAUAGCCCGUCGCGUAAUACCCCGGCGGGGACCGAGGACCGCGCUUCGGCAAGGAUGCUGGCGUAAUGGUCAUCAGCGACCCGUCUUGAAACACGGACCGAGGAGUCAAGCAUUAGUGCGAGUGUUUGGGUGUAAAACCCGCACGCGUAAUGAAAGUGAACGUAGGUGAGAGCUUCGGCGCAUCAUCGACCGAUCCUGAUGUUUUCGGAUGGAUUUGAGUAGGAGCAUUAACGCUUGGACCCGAAAGAUGGUGAACUAUACUUGAAUAGGGUGAAGCCA
rnacentral:rRNA from 1 species